rnacentral:rRNA from 1 species
AACGAACGCUGGCGGCAUGCCUAACACAUGCAAGUCGAACGAGACCUUCGGGUCUACUGGCUCUCGGGUGUGUCACGCGUGGGAACCUGCACUUAGGCACGGAAUUCCUCUCUGACGGGGGUGCUAAUGCCGGAUAAUGUACUCGGACAAAAGAUCUGACUCCUUUGGUAGGGCCCGCGUUGGAUUAGCCUGUUGGUAGGGUAAAAGCCUACCACGGCAUCGCUCCAUAGCUGGUCUGAGAGAAUGAGCAGCCACACUGGGACGCAGACACGGCCGAGACUACUACGGGAGGCGGGAGAGGGGAAUAUAGGAAUAUGGGCGAAGGCCUGAUCCAGCAAGGCCGGGUGAGUGAUGAUGGCGGUAGGGUAGUGAAGCUCGUUUACCCGGGGUGAUAAUGACGGUACCGGAAGAAUAAGCUCCGGCUAACUCCGUG